rnacentral:rRNA from 3 species
UCGGGAAUUUUGCCCAAUGGACGAAAGUCUGAGGCAGCAACUCCGCGUGAGGGAUGAAGGCUCUCGGGUCGUAAACCUCUUUUCUCAGGGAAGAUCCAAGACGGUACCUGAGGAAUAAGCGACGGCUAACUACGUGCCAGCAGCCGCGGUAAUACGUAGGUCGCAAGCGUUGUCCGGAUUUACUGGGCGUAAAGAGCGCGCAGGCGGCUGGUCAAGUCCGAUGUGAAAUCUCCCGGCUCAACUGGGAAACUGCAUCGGAAACUGAUCGGCUUGAAGGUGGGAGAGGGUAGUGGAAUUCCCGGUGUAGUGGUGAAAUGCGUAGAUAUCGGGAGGAACACCAGUGGCGAAGGCGACUACCUGGCCCAUUCUUGACGCUGAGGCGCGAAAGCUAGGGGAGCGAACGGG